UGUUUAACAUUUAUGAUAAAAUGAGGACUGUUGAGUGCUUGAGAGGAAGGCUUCUUGCUGAGAGACAAGCAUCCAUGGCUGCUAAAGAAGAUGCUCAACUUAUGGAAAGUAAGCUGCUGGAACUUGAGAACAAACUCAAACAAGAGACUAAAUCAAGGUUGUUGAAGAAAAAGCUUGAAUCCCUCAAAAUUUUGCUUGAUUUAGAAGAAUCAGAAAGGUCAUGCUCAUCAAAAUCUGAUUCAAUGUCUCAAAAUACAGCCCCAGAAAUCUCAGAAAAUGUGAAGGAAACUGCACCAGACAAGUCUUCAUAUGAGAAAUUCAGCAGUAACUAAAGUUCAAGCCAUACAAGUUCUUCAAGCUUGGAACCUUCAACAAUUGAGAUUAACACGAUGAAUUAUGAAGAUGAUGAUGAAUAUGUUGAUAACUCAUUGGCAUUGGUUCCUUUGGAGCUCCCAGAAACAAAGCCGGUCCCUGAGAUACGCAUAGUCAGAAAAAGUGUAGGUGAAGUUCUUGAUGUUCUAAGGCAUGCCAGAGAAAGAAUUCACAGCUCAAUGGAAAGAAGACAAAUGAUUAGGGUCGGACCGUCUUGAAUUCAUACAAGUAAACAUCAAUCAGUGUCUCAUUUUAGAUAAUAAAACAGCAAGCGACAGAUGUUAUGUUUUCUUGCAUUGGUACAAAAUG